rnacentral:rRNA from 1 species
AUUGAACGCUGGCGGUAGGCCUAACACAUGCAAGUCGAACGAGUGGCGGACGGGUGAGUAAUGUCUGGGAAACUGCCUGAUGGCGGGGGAUAACUACUGGAAACGGUAGCUAAUACCGCAUACCAUCAGAUGUGCCCAGAUGGGAUUAGCUAUGUGGUGGGGUAACGGCUCACCAAGGCGACGAUCCCUCGCUGGUCUGAGAGGAUGAACAUCCACACUGGAAUGGAUACACGGUCCAGACUCCUACGGGAGGAAGCAGUGGGGAAUAUUGCACAAUGGGCGCAAGCCUGAUGCAGCCAGGCCGAGUGUAUGAAGAAGGCCUUCGGGUUGUAAAGUACUUUCAGCGGGGAGGCGUUACCCGCAGAAGAAGCACCGGCUAACUCCGUGACAGCAGCCGCGGUAAUAC